rnacentral:rRNA from 1 species
UGGGGAAUUUUGGACAAUGGGGGAAACCCUGAUCCAGCCAUCCCGCGUGUGCGAUGAAGGCCUUCGGGUUGUAAAGCACUUUUGGCAGGAAAGAAACGUCAUGGGUUAAUACCCCGUGAAACUGACGGUACCUGCAGAAUAAGCACCGGCUAACUACGUGCCAGCAGCCGCGGUAAUACGUAGGGUGCAAGCGUUAAUCGGAAUUACUGGGCGUAAAGCGUGCGCAGGCGGUUCGGAAAGAAAGAUGUGAAAUCCCAGAGCUCAACUUUGGAACUGCAUUUUUAACUACCGGGCUAGAGUGUGUCAGAGGGAGGUGGAAUUACGCGUGUAGCAGUGAAAUGCGUAGAUAUGCGGAGGAACACCGAUGGCUAAGGCAGCCUCCUGGGAUAACACUGACGCUCAUGCACGAAAGCGUGGGGAGCAAACAGG